rnacentral:misc_RNA from 1 species
GAAAUGCGAUAAGUAAUGUGAAUUGCAGAAUUCAGUGAAUCAUCGAAUCUUUGAACGCACAUUGCGCCCGUCAGCAUUCUGGCGGGCAUGCCUGUUCGAGCGUCAUUUCAACCCUCAGGACCCCCCUUUCGCGGGGAGGGACCUGGCGUUGGGGAUCGGCCCGCCCCCGCGGCGGCGCCGUCUCCGAAAUCUAGUGGCGGUCUCGCUGCAGCCUCCCCUGCGUAGUAGUUACAACCUCGCAUCGGAGCGCGGCGCGGCCACGCCGUAAAACCCCCGACUUUCUGAACGUUGACCUCGGAUCAGGUAGGAAUACCCGCUGAACUUAAGC